rnacentral:piRNA from 1 species
GGAGAAGAAGUGCCUAGCCCAGCAGGAC